UUCCUACGGGGGCAGCAGUAGGGAAUCUUCCGCAAUGGACGAAAGUCUGACGGAGCAACGCCGCGUGAGUGAUGAAGGUUUUCGGAUCGUAAAGCUCUGUUGUUAGGGAAGAACAAGUGCCGUUCAAAUAGGGCGGCACCUUGACGGUACCUAACCAGAAAGCCACGGCUAACUACGUGCCAGCAGCCGCGGUAAUACGUAGGUGGCAAGCGUUGUCCGGAAUUAUUGGGCGUAAAGGGCUCGCAGGCGGUUUCUUAAGUCUGAUGUGAAAGCCCCCGGCUCAACCGGGGAGGGUCAUUGGAAACUGGGGAACUUGAGUGCAGAAGAGGAGAGUGGAAUUCCACGUGUAGCGGUGAAAUGCGUAGAGAUGUGGAGGAACACCAGUGGCGAAGGCGACUCUCUGGUCUGUAACUGACGCUGAGGAGCGAAAGCGUGGGGAGCGAACAGGAUUAGAUAC
rnacentral:rRNA from 1 species